rnacentral:piRNA from 1 species
UCGUUGGUCUCCUUCAUCUUC